ensembl:snRNA U6 U6 spliceosomal RNA
GUGCUGUCUUUGGCAGCACCUAUAGUAAAAUUGAAACGGUACACAGAAAAACGUCAUGGCCUCCACGCUAGAAUGACAUGCAAAGGUGUGCAGCAUUCCGUAUUUUC